AGUAGACUGUAUAUAAAGAGGACAGAAGCAGUGUAGGGAGAAGCUGAAAAAGCUCAAAAGUGACUAUCGGUCCACCCAGGACCACAACGGCCGGCGUGGGUCAACCAGGAGGUGUUGGAAGAGGUUUAAUGGAAGCCAUUUACUGGCACCGAUGGCUACAUCGCACCGGCGAGCAACAGGAGGGAGACUCAGCCGCUGCAUUGUUGGAGACGUUCGAGGACGAAUCCCUUUCCACAUGCGAAGCCUACUCCACCUCCGUCGCGGAGCCCCCAGCUCCCCUGCCUCCUCUCCACCACCAGCAGCAGCUCCUCUCCCGCACCAGCUUCGACACCGACCCUGUCAACAUCAACCUCCAGCACGUCACAGCAACGUCUUAUCACCGGCAAGAGGAAAGGGGGCCACAGAAAAUUGGACCUUCCUAGCGUACUUGUGGAGAUGCAGGCUGAGGAGGAGUGGAGUCAUGCCCAGCAUGAUGAGAACAUCUGGUUGUUCCUCAGCGAGGCAAGAGAGAAUGAAGCGGCCUUGCAGCGGGAGGAGAUGGCCCAGAAUACUGCCUUCAACCAGUCAUUCCUGGGUGUGCUGGGGCAGCUGGGGUAGCUGGGUAGGCAGUGGGCAGCGAGUCCACCUCCCAUAGACUUGAGAUUUACAAGUGCUGGUCAUAUAAUUAGAAUAUCAUGAAAAAGCUCGUCUUUUGGACAACUGUCAGGUCAGCAGUCUUCCCCAUGAUUGUGUAGCCUACAGAACUAGGCUGAGAGACCAUUUAAAGGCCUUUGCAGGUGUUUUGAGUUAAUUAGCUGAUUAGAGGUGUCUUCAAUAUUGAACCUUUCUACAAUAUUCUAAUUUUCAGAGAUACCAAAUUUGAGAUUUUUGUUAGUAUAAGAUAAGAUAAAGUUCUUUAUUUCUCCCCACUCCAGGGGAAAUUUACAUUGUUACGGCAGCUUUAUUUACAAUAUAUACAAGGGUGAAAAAAAUUUUUAACAGAAAAAAUAAAAAUAAAAAUAAAGUUUAAAAGUGCAGAGAUGUGCAGUGCAAGAAUGUCAGUGCAAAUUUUAUGGUUUGGGGUGGUAAUGAUAUAGUCCAG
ensembl:lncRNA